UUCCCUCCAUCUCUGUAACCAAUCUGUAAGCAUACUUGACUGCAGCCCUUGCAGCAGCACGACUCUACAAACUCCAGCUCUCCUCUGACAAAAUGCCAGAUUGCAACGAAGCCGUGCCAGCAUCAUGCCAGGUUAUCAAAGAGGACGUUGACAAAUGUGUCAGAGAGAAGGGAGUGGAGAACUGUACAGAUCUGAUAGAUGCCUUCCAGGCCUGUAUAAAAACCCUGUCUGAGUGUUCCUAAUACAUAAGGAAAUACAUCUUAAUAAAAUCUUCACUUUAUCAAAGUCCUUCACUUUCCCAGCAUUCCCCUCCUUGCCUCUUGCAUUGGACUGAACCAUCUCCAAAACUGAAGAGGGGGUGAUGACAUUAAACACAUUAAACUCUGGAUACUUUAUGCUUCUGUGAAUUUUUCUUUCAUAUAGGUUAUAAUUACAAUAUGGACUAUACUGUAACACUGAUUAUCUAUGCACUGUAAAUGUUUGCUAUGCACAAAACAAUGAAUAUUACUACACAGUA